rnacentral:rRNA from 1 species
GGUUAAGCGACUAAGCGUACACGGUGGAUGCCCUGGCAGUCAGAGGCGAUGAAGGACGUGCUAAUCUGCGAUAAGCGUCGGUGAGGUGAUAUGAACCGUUAUAACCGGCGAUUUCCGAAUGGGGAAACCCAGUGUGUUUCGACACACUAUCAUUAACUGAAUCCAUAGGUUAAUGAGGCGAACCGGGGGAACUGAAACAUCUAAGUACCCCGAGGAAAAGAAAUCAACCGAGAUUCCCCCAGUAGCGGCGAGCGAACGGGGAGGAGCCCAGAGCCUGAAUCAGUGUGUGUGUUAGUGGAAGCGUCUGGAAAGGCGCGCGAUACAGGGUGACAGCCCCGUACACAAAAAUGCACAUAUUGUGAGCUCGAUGAGUAGGGCGGGACACGUGGUAUCCUGUCUGAAUAUGGGGGGACCAUCCUCCAAGGCUAAAUACUCCUGACUGACCGAUAGUGAACCAGUACCGUGAGGGAAAGGCGAAAAGAACCCCGGCGAGGGGAGUGAAAAAGAACCUGAAACCGUGUACGUACAAGCAGUGGGAGCCUCUUUAUGGGGUGACUGCGUACCUUUUGUAUAAUGGGUCAGCGACUUAUAUUCUGUAGCAAGGUUAACCGAAUAGGGGAGCCGAAGGGAAACCGAGUCUUAACUGGGCGUUAAGUUGCAGGGUAUAGACCCGAAACCCGGUGAUCUAGCCAUGGGCAGGUUGAAGGUUGGGUAACACUAACUGGAGGACCGAACCGACUAAUGUUGAAAAAUUAGCGGAUGACUUGUGGCUGGGGGUGAAAGGCCAAUCAAACCGGGAGAUAGCUGGUUCUCCCCGAAAGCUAUUUAGGUAGCGCCUCGUGAAUUCAUCUCCGGGGGUAGAGCACUGUUUCGGCAAGGGGGUCAUCCCGACUUACCAACCCGAUGCAAACUGCGAAUACCGGAGAAUGUUAUCACGGGAGACACACGGCGGGUGCUAACGUCCGUCGUGAAGAGGGAAACAACCCAGACCGCCAGCUAAGGUCCCAAAGUCAUGGUUAAGUGGGAAACGAUGUGGGAAGGCCCAGACAGCCAGGAUGUUGGCUUAGAAGCAGCCAUCAUUUAAAGAAAGCGUAAUAGCUCACUGGUCGAGUCGGCCUGCGCGGAAGAUGUAACGGGGCUAAACCAUGCACCGAAGCUGCGGCAGCGACACUAUGUGUUGUUGGGUAGGGGAGCGUUCUGUAAGCCUGUGAAGGUGGCCUGUGAGGGUUGCUGGAGGUAUCAGAAGUGCGAAUGCUGACAUAAGUAACGAUAAAGCGGGUGAAAAGCCCGCUCGCCGGAAGACCAAGGGUUCCUGUCCAACGUUAAUCGGGGCAGGGUGAGUCGACCCCUAAGGCGAGGCCGAAAGGCGUAGUCGAUGGGAAACAGGUUAAUAUUCCUGUACUUGGUGUUACUGCGAAGGGGGGACGGAGAAGGCUAUGUUGGCCGGGCGACGGUUGUCCCGGUUUAAGCGUGUAGGCUGGUUUUCCAGGCAAAUCCGGAAAACCAAGGCUGAGGCGUGAUGACGAGGCACUACGGUGCUGAAGCGACAAAUGCCCUGCUUCCAGGAAAAGCCUCUAAGCAUCAGGUAACAUCAAAUCGUACCCCAAACCGACACAGGUGGUCAGGUAGAGAAUACCAAGGCGCUUGAGAGAACUCGGGUGAAGGAACUAGGCAAAAUGGUGCCGUAACUUCGGGAGAAGGCACGCUGAUAUGUAGGUGAAGCGACUUGCUCGUGGAGCUGAAAUCAGUCGAAGAUACCAGCUGGCUGCAACUGUUUAUUAAAAACACAGCACUGUGCAAACACGAAAGUGGACGUAUACGGUGUGACGCCUGCCCGGUGCCGGAAGGUUAAUUGAUGGGGUUAGCGGUAACGCGAAGCUCUUGAUCGAAGCCCCGGUAAACGGCGGCCGUAACUAUAACGGUCCUAAGGUAGCGAAAUUCCUUGUCGGGUAAGUUCCGACCUGCACGAAUGGCGUAAUGAUGGCCAGGCUGUCUCCACCCGAGACUCAGUGAAAUUGAACUCGCUGUGAAGAUG